GCCAGACUCCUACGGGAGGCAGCAGUGGGGGAUAUUGCACAAUGGGGGGAACCCUGAUGCAGCGACGCCGCGUGGGUGAAGGAGCGUUUCGGCGCGUAAAGCCCUAUCGGCAGGGAAGAAGGAGGACGGUACCUGACUAAGAAGCCCCGGCUAACUACGUGCCAGCAGCCGCGGUAAUACGUAGGGGGCAAGCGUUAUCCGGAUUUACUGGGUGUAAAGGGGGCGCAGACGGCGAUGCAAGCCAGGAGUGAAAGCCCGGGGCCCAACCCCGGGACUGCUCUUGGAACUGCGUGGCUGGAGUGCAGGAGGGGCAGGCGGAAUUCCUGGUGUAGCGGUGAAAUGCGUAGAUAUCAGGAGGAACACCGGUGGCGAAGGCGGCCUGCUGGACUGCAACUGACGUUGAGGCCCGAAAGCGUGGGGAGCAAACAGGAUUAGAUACCCGAGUACC
rnacentral:rRNA from 1 species